GAUUUCAGUUUGAACAAACAUAGCAUAAUUGAACAUUUUUUUUUUAUUUAUUUAGAAAUGAAAAUUCGAUUUCAAUUCAAAAUUAAAUUGAUCAAUUUUGAUUCAAUUCAAAUAUGAUUUUAAUUUAUUCAAUUUUUAUUCAUUUCGAUUUGAUUUCAAUUCAAAAUUAAAGUCAUCUAGUUUCGAGCCAAUUUUAAUUCUGAACAUUGGGACUAUAUAAAGAUUCCAUACUCAUGAAACUUUUCACAAAUGUCUUUCACCAACCCAUCUUGAACAUACAACACAAUUCAAUUAAACCAUUAUAUCAAAA
rnacentral:misc_RNA from 1 species